UACGUAGGGUGCAAGCGUUGUCCGGAAUUAUUGGGCGUAAAGAGCUCGUAGGCGGUCAGUCGCGUCUGCUGUGAAAACUCGGGGCUUAACUCCGGGCCUGCAGUGGGUACGGGCUGACUAGAGUGCGGUAGGGGAGACUGGAAUUCCUGGUGUAGCGGUGAAAUGCGCAGAUAUCAGGAGGAACACCGGUGGCGAAGGCGGGUCUCUGGGCCGUAACUGAUGCUGAGGAGCGAAAGCGUGGGGAGCGAACAGG
rnacentral:rRNA from 1 species